UCAAACUUGGUCAUUUAGAGGAAGUAAAAGUCGUAACAAGGUUUCCGUAGGUGAACCUGCGGAAGGAUCAUUAUCGUGGGGCUCCGGCCCCGUCGAGAUAGCGUCCUUGCCUAUUUUUUGGAGUACCUUUUCGUUUCCUCAGCAGGCCUGCCUGCUCCCGGGGACCCCCAAAACUCUUUUGUAAACGCAGCAAUCGUCUGAGCAAACAAACAAAAAAAUCAAAACUUUCAACAAUGGAUCUCUUGGUUCUGGCAUCGAUGAAGAACGCAGC
rnacentral:misc_RNA from 1 species